CAUAAAGUACUUUGCAGCCACUUAGUGUGGAGUGGACACCAGGUUACAUCAGCUGUGUCUGAACCCCUCCUGCAUCUGAACUGGCUACAUAGAGGGCACAGCAUGAUCAGAGAUAUGUUUUGAUGUGAGAGGAUGCCAACCCCCAGUCCCAUCAUCGCCACCUCACCUGCUUUUAAGAUGACCUUUGGGCCGGCGUGAGACACUAUUAUGUAAUUGUGAUAAACUGAGAGAAUAUUUAGGUAGCACUGUYAUUCAUUAAUCAUGUGCUGCCUUCCCUGCUCCUAUGUGCUUACCUCUUUCCCUUUCUGUCUUUUACACCUCUCCCACCACCUCUUUCUUCCUCUGUUUUUAUAAUGCACAACAGAUAUGCAUUGAAGUACAGAUUGAAACUUGUAUUUAUCACACUUGGAUAAUGAGCUUUUCAAUAAAGCAUUUCACAUUCUC